UGGGGAAUCUUCCGCAAUGGACGAAAGUCUGACGGAGCAACGCCGCGUGAGUGAGGAAGGUUUUCGGAUCGUAAAAACUCUGUCUUUUGGGGCGAACGUGAGUAUGGUGAACAAUCAUAGUCAGUGACGGUACCAAAGGAGGAAGCCACGGCUAACUACGUGCCAGCAGCCGCGGUAAUACGUAGGUGGCAAGCGUUGUCCGGAAUUAUUGGGCGUAAAGAGCGCGUAGGCGGGAUAGUCAGUCUGUUGUAAAAGUGCGGGGCUCAACCCCGUGAUGGCAAUGGAAACAGCUAUUCUUGAGUGCAGGAGAGGAAAGUGGAAUUCCCAGUGUAGCGGUGAAAUGCGUAGAUAUUGGGAGGAACACCAGUGGCGAAGGCGACUUUCUGGACUGUGUCUGACGCUGAGGCGCGAAGGCCAGGGGAGCGAACGGGAUUAGAUACCCCCGGUAGUCCUGGCCGUAAAACGAUGGGUACUAGGUGUGGGGGGUAUCGACCCCUUCCGUGCCGGAGUUAACGC
rnacentral:rRNA from 1 species